rnacentral:rRNA from 1 species
AUUGAACGCUGGCGGCAGGCCUAACACAUGCAAGUCGAGCGAGCGGCGGACGGGUGAGUAAUGUCUGGGAAACUGCCUGAUGGAGGGGGAUAACUACUGGAAACGGUAGCUAAUACCGCAUACCAUCAGAUGUGCCCAGGUGGGAUUAGCUAGUAGGUGGGGUAACGACUCACCUAGGCGACGAUCCCUAGCUGGUCUGAGAGGAUGACCAGCCACACGAGAACGGAGACGCCGUCCAGACUCCUACGGGAGGCAGCAAUAGCGAAAAUUGCACAAUGGGCGCAAGCCUGAUGCAGCCAUGCCGCGUGUGUGAAGAAGGCCUUCGGGUUGUAAAGCACUUUCAGCGGGGAAGCGUUACCCGCAGAAGAAGCACCGGCUAACUCCGUGCCAGCAGCCGCGGUAAUAC